GUGCUCACUUUGGCAGCACAUAUACUAAAAUUGGAACGAUACCAAGAAAAUUAUCAAGGAUGACAUGCUUCUUGAAUUAGCAUGUCAUCCUAUUU
rnacentral:snRNA from 1 species